CAAGGCAGCUGAGUGGAAGGAUACUACAGAGAUUCCUAGUCUGAGGAACCAGAAGAAUGGAAUUGCCAUUCUCAGAAGAAGAACAAACAGGAUGAAUUGGUAGAAAAUCAAAAGUUGGAUUUUGGCCCUAUUAAGAUUGAAAGACCUAAUUAAAUAUUAAGAUGAGAAUGUCACAUAGUGGAUGUCUAGGGAUAGUGAAAGUGGUUUGCAGGGAAAGAGAAUUUGUUUGGGAUGUGACAUUUUUAACCUGAGAAGUUAAAUGAUUUAGGUUGAGGAUUGAAGAUUUGUAAAAGUGGAUAUGGCAAAAGGAUAAGAAAAUAUUUUAUUGCACCUGUGAUGCCAUUAGUUGCAUAUACACUGCCACUUUUUUGCCAUCGAGAGAAAGAAAACACUGGGGGCAUGCCAAUUACUGAAUCGUUAAAAUGUGGGGAGAACAACGGUCUUACAGUCAAUGAAAUACCAUUGUCAUUUUGUAGUUUAGAAGGGCCUGAUAGGCUGGGAUCAAAGAGGUGGGUAGCCUGUGAAGUUAGAGGUAAUGGGGGAAAUAGUAGAGCUAAAGGGUAAGAAGUUGAGGUUAAAGAAUGGAUUUUGGAAUUUGAAGAUUUCGAGGUGCAGCUGCUCCAGGUUCAGUUAAUACUUUCUAGAUGUUGUACAAGACCCAUGAUAUUCCUGUUGGUAGAGGACGGUGGAGAGUAUAUAACGUGGCCAAAUAAUAGAGCUUCUUGAAAAGUAUUUUAGCCCCUCCACUUCAUUUAAUUUCACUCAUUAAAUGAGACCCAGAUGAAAUGAAAGGCCUAGAAUUUAAGUACUUGCAUGAGAUCAAAGAACUAUUUAGCAUUUGAACCAAGAUUAGGCCACAGUUAAAGUUUUGUAACUGGAAGGCAGGGAAUUUUUAGUUGAACACUGAAACUUUGCUUCAUACAUUCCUGUCUAAGAUGUUAUACAUUGUUCAAUUUGAAAACACUUCUGUUUCAACAGCCUCAAAGAGUUGCUGAGAGCUAAAUUAAUUGAAUGUGGCUGGAAGGAUCAGUUGAAGGCACACUGUAAAGAGGUAAUUAAAGAAAAAGGACUAGAACACGUUACUGUUGAUGACUUGGUGGCUGAAAUCACUCCAAAAGGCAGAGCCCUGGUACCUGACAGUGUAAAGAAGGAGCUCCUACAAAGAAUAAGAACAUUCCUUGCUCAGCAUGCCAGCCUUUAAGAUUGAAUUAGAUUGUGUUGUUGUGGUUUUAUUUCUGAAAGUAAAACUUGCCAUAAAUUAGAAAACAAUUUCCCAAAAUAAAAUCCUUUUUUGUAUGAUGGUAUACAGUUUUCAGUAAUGAUGUAUACAUUGUAUUGAUUUUUUUCCCUAAAUGUGUUAUUUUAAUAAAUAUCUCAUGAAUGA
rnacentral:lncRNA from 1 species